GGGGAAAUAGAAUCAAGGCUUGCUUUUUUAUGUCUUUGGAUAUGCUUCAUUGUUUAUGCUUCUACAUCAAAUGGUUGCUCUGAGAUCCCAGUGGUAGAGAAUGCAGAAGUUUCUGAAAGCUCAAAAAAACAAACAAUACUGUGAUGGUGACUACAAUUGCGUACAUGGCUGUCUCUCAGAGAAAAAUAAUCUACAAUGUAGCAAUAAUGAAUGGACUAAAUGCUGUGGUGAUAAAUGUUCACGUGGGUAUACAAGACACACACACACACACACACAAUGUAUAAAUCUCUGGACUGCUGUACAAUACUUUUAAAUCUAAUUGUAUGCAUCUGAAGUAACCCGAGUUACUUGUUAUCAAGUAAUAAUCUCCUUGGCCUUCAAAGGCUGAAUUUUCAGAACUAUAUCUUUUGCUUCUGAUUCAUCAUCAGUCAAACGCUGUGAGUCACCUGAAGAUAUUCCAAAUGGUCGUUACAUUAUUGAAAGUGGAAGAAACUUUGUUUUUGGAACAACUAUCAAGUAUAUCUGCAACGAUGGAGGCAACAUGUCCUCUACAGUGGAGCACAACAGUGGAAGACUUAAAAAUUGAGUGACUCCCUGAUAUUGAGGG